rnacentral:rRNA from 1 species
GAUGAACGCGGCGGCGUGCUUAACACAUGCAAGUCGAACGAAGCUGUUAAAAGGAAGUCUUCGGAUGGAAUUUUAACAGACUUAGUGGCGGACGGGUGAGUAACGCGUGGAUAACCUGCCUUAUACAGGGGGAUAACGGAGAGAAAUUUCCGCUAAGACCGCAUAAGACCACAGCACCGCAUGGUGCAGGGGUAAAAUAUUAAUAGGUAUAAGAUGGAUCCGCGUCCGAUUAGCUUGUUGGUGAGGUAGAGGCUCACCAAGGCGACGAUCGGUAGCCGGCCUGAGAGGGUGAACGGCCACAUUGGGACUGAGACACGGCCCAAACUCCUACGGGAGGCAGCAGUGGGGAAUAUUGGACAAUGGGGGAAACCCUGAUCCAGCGACGCCGCGUGAGUGAAAGAAAGUAUUUUCGGUAUGUAAAAGCUCUAUCAAGCCAGGGAAAG